GACGAACGCUGGCGGCGUGCCUAAUACAUGCAAGUUGAGCGAUGAAGCUUGGUGCUUGCACCAAUUUGAAGAGCAGCGAACGGGUGAGUAACGCGUGGGGAAUCUGCCUUUGAGCGGGGGACAACAUUUGGAAACGAAUGCUAAUACCGCAUAACAACUUUAAACAUAAGUUUAAGUUUUAAAGAUUCAAUUGGCACAACCAAAGGAUAACCCGAGUUGUAUUUGCUAGUUGGUGAGGUAAAGGCUCACCAAGGCGAUGAUACAUAGCCGACCUGAGAGGGUGAUCGGCCACAUUGGGACUGAGACACGGCCCAAACUCCUACGGGAGGCAGCAGUAGGGAAUCUUCGGCAAUGGACGAAAGUCUGACCGAGCAACGCCGCGUGAGUGAAGAAGGUUUUCGGAUCGUAAAACUCUGUUGGUAGAGAAGAACGUUGGUGAGAGUGGAAAGCUCAUCAAGUGACGGUAACUACCCAGAAAGGGACGGCUAACUACGUG
rnacentral:rRNA from 1 species